GAAAUGCGAUACGUAGUGUGAAUUGCAGAAUUCCGUGAACCAUCGAAUCUUUGAACGCAAAUUGCGCCCGAGGCUUCGGCCGAGGGCAUGUCUGCCUCAGCGUCGGCUUACACCCUCGCCCUCCCUCUCCUUUGGAGUGGGCAGAGCGGAUCUGGCCUUCCCGGCUCCUCUUCGAUUCGUCGAUGAGUCCGGGUUGGUUGAAGUGUAGAGGCUUGAGCAUGGACCCCGUUUGUAGGGUAAUGACUUGGUAGGUAGCAUCGCUACACAGCCUGUCGUUGCCCGAGGGGACUUUGCUGGCGGCCUAGCAGGAAUUCGGGGUGGUUCUGCCACCCUGAAUGUCUCACAAAUUCGACCUGAGCUCAGGCAAGACUACCCGCUGAACUUAA
rnacentral:misc_RNA from 1 species